CCUACGGGGUGCAGCAGUGAGGAAUAUUGGUCAAUGGGCGCGAGCCUGAACCAGCCAAGUAGCGUGAAGGAUGACUGCCCUACGGGUUGUAAACUUCUUUUAUAAAGGAAUAAAGUGAGGCACGUGUGCCUUUUUGUAUGUACUUUAUGAAUAAGGAUCGGCUAACUCCGUGCCAGCAGCCGCGGUAAUACGGAGGAUCCGAGCGUUAUCCGGAUUUAUAGGGUGUAAAGGGAGCGUAGAUGGGUGGUUAAGUCAGUUGUGAAAGUUUGCGGCUCAACCGUAAAAUUGCAAUUGAUACUGGAAGUAUGGAGGACAGGUGAGGUAGGUGGAAUUCGUGGUGUAGCGGUGAAAUGCGUAGAUAUCAGGAAGAACUCCGGUGGCGAAGGCAGCUUACUAAACUGCAACUGACAUUGAUGCUCGAAAGUGUGGGGAUCAAACAGGAUUAGAUACCCCGGUAGUC
rnacentral:rRNA from 1 species